rnacentral:misc_RNA from 1 species
GCAAACUUGGUCAUUUAGAGGAAGUAAAAGUCGUAACAAGGUCUCCGUAGGUGAACCUGCGGAGGGAUCAUUACCGAGUGAGGGCCCCAGGCCCGACCUCCCCCCCACUGUGGACCACGACCCCGUGCCUCGGGGGCGACCCGCCCGCGCACCUCGCGCGGCGUCGGGGCCCCCGGCGGACCAUAAAACACAGACUCCGUGAUGUCGAGUCGGAAGGGAAAAUCGCGACGCAAAACUUACAACAAUGGAUCUCUUGGUUCUGGCAUCGAUGAAGAACGCAGC